UUGGAGGGCAAGUCUGGUGCCAGCAGCCGCGGUAAUUCCAGCUCCAAUAGCGUAUAUUUAAGUUGUUGCAGUUAAAAAGCUCGUAGUUGAAUUUCGGGGUUAGUAGGUUGGUCAUGCCUCUGGUAUGUACUGGUCUCACUGAUUCCUCCUUCCUGAUGAACCGUAAUGCCAUUAAUUUGGUGUUGCGGGGAAUUUGGACUGUUACUUUGAAAAAAUUAGAGUGUUUAAAGCAAGCUAACGCUUGAAUACAUUAGCAUGGAAUAAUGAAAUAGGACGUUCGAUCCUAUUUUGUUGGUUUCUAGGAUUGACGUAAUGAUUAAUAGGGAUAGUUGGGGGCAUUAGUAUUCAAUUGUCAGAGGUGAAAUUCUUGGAUUUAUUGAAGACUAACUACUGCGAAAGCAUUUGCCAAGGAUGUUUUCAUUAAUCAAGAACGAAAGUUAGGGGAUCGAAGACGAUCAGAUACCGUCGUCGUCUUAACCAUAAACUAUGCCGACUAGGGAUCGGAUGAUGUUAAUUUUUUAAUGACUCAUUCGGCGCCUUACGGGAAAC
rnacentral:rRNA from 1 species